GGCGAAGUUGCAGAGUGGUUAAGGCGAUAUACUGCUAAUCCAUUCUGGUGUGCACGCAUGGGUUCGAAUCCCAUUCUUGUCG
rnacentral:tRNA from 1 species